UGGGGAAUAUUGCACAAUGGGCGCAAGCCUGAUGCAGCCAUGCCGCGUGUAUGAAGAAGGCCUUCGGGUUGUAAAGUACUUUCAGCGGGGAGGAAGGGAGUAAAGUUAAUACCUUUGCUCAUUGACGUUACCCGCAGAAGAAGCACCGGCUAACUCCGUGCCAGCAGCCGCGGUAAUACGGAGGGUGCAAGCGUUAAUCGCAAUUACUGGGCGUAAAGCGCACGCAGGCGGUUUGUUAAGUCAGAUGUGAAAUCCCCGGGCUCAACCUGGGAACUGCAUCUGAUACUGGCAAGCUUGAGUCUCGUAGAGGGGGGUAGAAUUCCAGGUGUAGCGGUGAAAUGCGUAGAGAUCUGGAGGAAUACCGGUGGCGAAGGCGGCCCCCUGGACGAAGACUGACGCUCAGGUGCGAAAGCGUGGGGAGCAAACAGG
rnacentral:rRNA from 1 species